rnacentral:rRNA from 1 species
UACAGAGGGGGCAAGCGUUGUUCGGAAUUACUGGGCGUAAAGGGCGCGUAGGCGGCCUUCUAAGUCGAACGUGAAAUCCCCGGGCUCAACCCGGGAACUGCGUCCGAUACUGGAAGGCUAGAAUCCGGGAGAGGGAUGCGGAAUUCCAGGUGUAGCGGUGAAAUGCGUAGAUAUCUGGAGGAACACCGGUGGCGAAGGCGGCAUCCUGGACCGGUAUUGACGCUGAGGCGCGAAAGCCAGGGGAGCAAACGGG